UACGUAGGGUGCAAGCGUUGUCCGGAAUUAUUGGGCGUAAAGAGCUCGUAGGCGGCCAACUAAGUCGGAUGUGAAAUCCCCAGGCUCAACUUGGGAACUGCAUCCGAUACUGGAUGGCUUGAAUUCGGGAGAGGGAUGCAGAAUUCCAGGUGUAGCGGUGAAAUGCGUAGAUAUCUGGAGGAACACCGGUGGCGAAGGCGGCAUCCUGGACCGACACUGACGCUGAGGAGCGAAAGCCAGGGGAGCAAACGGG
rnacentral:rRNA from 1 species